GACGAACGCUGGCGGCGUGCUUAACACAUGCAAGUCGAACGGAAAGGCCCUGCUUUUGUGGGGUGCUCGAGUGGCGAACGGGUGAGUAACACGUGAGUAACCUGCCCUUGACUUUGGGAUAACUUCAGGAAACUGGGGCUAAUACCGGAUAGGAGCUCCUGCUGCAUGGGGGGGGUUGGAAAGUUUCGGCGGUUGGGGAUGGACUCGCGGCUUAUCAGCUUGUUGGUGGGGUAGUGGCUUACCAAGGCUUUGACGGGUAGCCGGCCUGAGAGGGUGACCGGCCACAUUGGGACUGGGAUACGGCCCGGACUCCUCCGGGAGGCAGCAGUGGGGAAUAUUGAACAAUGGGCGGAAGCCUGAUGCAGCAACGCCGCGUGCGGGAUGACGGCCUUCGGGUUGUAAACCGCUUUCGCCUGUGACGAAGCGUGAGUGACGGUAAUGGGUAAAGAAGCACCGGCUAACUACGUG
rnacentral:rRNA from 1 species